CAGGCUUAAUACAUGCAAGUCGUGGGGCAGCAUGAGUAGCAAUACUUGAUGGCGACCGGCAAACGGGUGAGGAACACGUACACAACCUUCCUCAAGCGGGGAAUAGCCCAGAGAAAUUUGGAUUAAUACCCCAUAAUAUAUUUGAUAAGGCAUCUUAUUAAUAUUAAAGCUUCGGCACUUGAUGAUGGGUGUGCGGCUGAUUAGAUAGUUGGCGGGGUAACGGCCCACCAAGUCUACGAUCAGUAGCUGAUGUGAGAGCAUGAUCAGCCACACGGGCACUGAGACACGGGCCCGACUCCUACGGGAGGCAGCAGUAAGGAAUAUUGGACAAUGGACGAAAGUCUGAUCCAGCCAUGCCGCGUGAAGGAUUAAGGUCCUCUGGAUUGUAAACUUCUUUUAUAUGGGACGAAAAAAGGGCAUUCUUGUUCACUUGACGGUACCAUAUGAAUAAGCACCGGCUAACUCCGUG
rnacentral:rRNA from 1 species